rnacentral:rRNA from 1 species
GACGAACGCUGGAGGCGUGCUUAACACAUGCAAGUCGAACGAUGAAAUGGAGCUUGCUCCAUGGAUUAGUGGCGAACGGGUGAGUAACACGUGAAUAACCUGCCCUUAAUUUUGGAAUAACCCAGGGAAACCUGGGCUAAUACCGGAUAAGUAAACCUGUGGCAUCACAUGGUUUUGGAAAGUUUUUCGAUUAAGGAUGGAUUCGCGGCCUAUCAGCUUGUUGGUGGGGUAAUGGCUCACCAAGGCGACGACGGGUAGCUGGCCGGAGAGGGUGAAGGGCCACAGGGGGACGAGGACACGCCACAGACACCUAGGGGAGGCAGAGGUGGGAAAUAUUGCGAAAUGGACGAAGGUCUGACGAAGCGACGCGGCUGGGGAGACGAAGGUCUUCGAUUUGUAACCCUCUUUCAGCGGGAAGGAAGCGAAAGGGCGGGUACCUGAAGAAGAACCACCGGCAAACUAUUUCCACGCAGCCCCCGAAA